AGCGAACGCUGGCGGCAGGCCUAACACAUGCAAGUCGAACGGACCUUUCGGGGCUAGUGGCGGACGGGUGAGUAACACGUGGGAACGUGCCUUUAGGUUCGGAAUAGCUCCUGGAAACGGGUGGUAAUGCCGAAUGUGCCCUUCGGGGGAAAGAUUUAUCGUCUUUAGAGCGGUCCGCGACUGAUUAGCUAGUUGGUUGAGGUAACGGCUCACCAAGGCGACGAUCAGUAGCUGGGGUGGGGGGAUGGCCAGGCACAUUGGGACUGAGACACGGCCCAAACUCCUACGGGAGGCCGCAGUUGGGAAUCUUGCGCAAUGGGCGAAAGCCUGACGCAGCCAUGCCGCGUGAAUGAUGAAGGUCUUAGGAUUGUAAGAUUCUUUCACCGGGGACGAUAAUGACGGUACCCGGAGAAGAAGCCCCGGCUAACUUCGUG
rnacentral:rRNA from 1 species